rnacentral:rRNA from 1 species
UACGUAGGUGACCAGCGCUGUCCGGAUUUACUGGGCGUAAAGAGCGCGCAGGCGGUCGUUCAAGUCGAGUGUGAAAGCCCCCGGCUCAACUGGGGAGGGUCACUCGAUACUGAUCGACUGGAAGGCAGGAGAGGGAAGCGGAAUUCCCGGUGUAGUGGUGAAAUGCGUAGAUAUCGGGAGGAACACCAGUGGCGAAGGCGGCUUCCUGGCCUGUUCUUGACGCUGAGGCGCGAAAGCUAGGGGAGCAAACGGG